UUGCAUUCUUAAUUAUUACAAUAUUAUUAAAUCUUUGUUAAUUAUUUAAUCAUGUAGCAGCAAACCUGCGAGGCAUAAAAAAUGCAGACUACGUAGACUAGAGUGACGGCUAUCAUGUACAAUCCACUCGCGAGCAAUCGGCAACGCUUGUCGAAGCGAAGAUGCAGAUAUUCGUAGCUCGAAGUCAACCUUAAUUUCAUGAACACCGGUAGAUACAAACUAGAGGUGAUCGGUACCACGAGUAUGAAAGAGAG